rnacentral:siRNA from 1 species
GCCGGCGAUGUAUACUAACUCAU